ACGCUAUGGACUGUAGCCCAUUAGGUUCCUCUGUCCAUGGAAUGUUCCACGCAAGAAUACUGGAAUGGGUUGCCAUUCCCUUCUCCAGGGGAUCUUCCUGACCCAGGGAUUGAACCCAUGACUCCUGCAUCUCCUGCGUUGACAGGCAGAUUCUUUGCUGCGAGUUCCCUGGGAACCCCAGGCAUGGCUCCUAGAGCCAUUGAAAAUAAUUGAAAUAGAGUUGUCAAAAAGGCAGGAAGGGAACCAGUAGGAACAGCUGACACAGAUAUCUGAUUCCUUCCUGUGACAGGUGUAUCCUAUGAGCCCAGCUUGAACAAGUUGCAGGAACCUGGGCUGGGCUCCAAGGCAGGAUGUUUCUUACAUGAGGGACCAGAGUUCUCUGUAGGGAAUCACUGGGUAAUUAGUACAAGCAGUGUUCCGAUGGUGUGCGAGGAGUAAAAAUUAAUAAACAGAGACUUCAAUUAAAAUAGAGUCAGGAGGCCAGAAGGGGAAGCUCUCAUACUCCAUGCUGCUGCUGUUGCUAAGUCGCUUCAGUCGUGUCCGACUCUGUUGGACCCCAUAGACGGCAGCCCACCAGGCUCCCCCAUCCCUGAGAUUCUUCAAGUAAGAACACUGGAGUGGGCUGCCAUUUCCUUCCCCAACCUCAUACUCUAUGAGGAUAGUGGAACUCAACGGGAAGGAAAACCACGUCCCCUUGUUGCCUGGCAAGAGCUCAACCAAUGAGAGACUCUCACAAUUCAGCCAAUGAGAAGCCCCUAUACUUCGAACUCUCAACUCUUCAGUGGACUCUUGUUUCUCAUAAACCUGGCAACUUUCUUUACCUCUCUUCAAAAGAGUUCUUUCUUUGUUGUGGUGGCUCACCAUGGUUACAGACCCCAAAUUUCAAAUCCUUGUUGAUUCCAAUUAAGCCCAUUUUUGCUGGAGAAAUAACUGGUAAUCUGUGUUAGUUAAACAUUUUGGCGGUCCACAUGGGGAUCCAGAGAAGGCUCCUGUUGACUUCCAGGCUGAGAAUUCCUGAGUAACAACUUUCAGAGAUAAAUCAACUCACUGCAGUGGCAUCCUAUCCAUGGACUAGUGACCCAGGGCCAUCAGCAGAGUUCAGCUUCUUAGUCAUCAAGUUGCCCCUUCUGGAUCUGUCAGUACCCUGAAGAGAACGUGCCUGUGCCCAGUUGCAUCUGACUCUGUGCAACCUCAUGGACUAUAGCCCACCAGGCUCCUCUGGCUAUGGGAUUCUCCAGGCAAGAAUGCUGGAGUGGGAUCUUCCUGACCCAGGGGCUGAACCCACAUCUCCUUCGUCUCCUGCACUGCAGGCAGUCUUGACUCACUGAAUGACUCAGAAACCUGGCCCCAAAGAGGUUUCGGUCAGAUAUGCUUGUCUAUGGAGUGAUAAUCUGAUUUCAUCAGUGGGUUGAUGCUUUGUCAACAGAGGAAUGUCGGGAGGAUCUAUUACAGAAUGGACAGCCAAGAUGAGCCUGCCGGGUUCCUCGGUCCAUGAGACUUCCCUGGCAAGAAUAUUGGAGUGGUUUGCCAUUUCCUUCUCCGGGGGAUCUUCCUGACCCAGGGAUCGAACCUGUGUCUCCUGCAUUGGCAGCCGCCACCACCUUCCUCUCUCCUCUCCUUCCAUCUUGGCAUCUUGGCUUUGUCCCUUCUGAACUCUUCCUCUUUCAUCCUGCCAGUCUUCAGGUUCAUUGCUAUGGGAUCUGUCCAACAACAGCAUGCCUGGAAAUACUGAAUAUUGCAUUCUGCUCUCCAAAGGAAUGUUGGUCGGAAAACAUGAUUUAAACCCAAAUAUCAGAUUUAAACAUUGCCUUCUUUGAAAAAGGAAUGAAGGUGAAAUACACUACUUUAAUUCUGACACAGCAAAAAGGGAAUGUUCCAUUAACAAAUCAUAAUUAACUUUGAACUUGAGUGAAAACAAAGACAUCAAUAUGCCCAGUUUCUCAGACUGUAAUGUAUGUACAUAUAUUAGAUCACAUAUGCUUAUUACCUUAAAGUAUGGGUAACAUACUUUAAGUAGAAGUAUCUUUUCCAAGUAGAAAUAUGCUGCUAUAAAUGUGAUUUUAAUGAGAUUUAUUUUUAAUUGAUUUAUACUUCCAUGAUUUUGCAUGCUGACUUUAAGAAACUAUGAUAGUAUAUUUCAAAGUUGUGGGCCAUAGUCUGUAUUAUACCAAGACUAAUCUUUUGUUCAUUUAUAUAUUCAUUCAUUCUUUCAUUGACCACUUACUAAGCAAUCACUGGAUGUUGGGCAUUGUGCUGGGUGCUGAGCUAGCGCAAUGCUUGGGUUCAGGUCUCAGGAUUGAAAGCAGGAAUGUGAGAGGUGCACUGGAGUGAUCAUACGCUUUGGAACUGGGUUGACUAGGUUCAAGAACUGCUUAAGCUAGUUAGCUGAGCUGUUUGGAAUAAGACACUUCACCUCUGUGGGUCUUAGUUUUGUUACCUGGAAAAGAGGUCAGCAAACCUAUCCUGCAGAAUACAUGGAGUUUUAUGCAAAACUUUAGGUAAAAUGGUUGGUACUGUGUAUGUCAUAUGGAUCCUGGAAACAUCAUAGUUAAUCUUAUUAUUAUGGUAGUAUUUAAGUAAUUUAAGUAAGCAACUUGAAAUAUCAGUGAAUGGAUGGCAUUUUUAAUGGCUCAAAUUGAGUAGAACAGGUCUUAAUAAAGUAGUUUUAUUUGCAUGUGUGUGAGCACGGCACAAUCAAAGUAAGUUUUAAUGGACUUAGCCAUGUUAUCAGAAUAUAAGGACUAGUGCAUCUGAAAACCCUGAGGUGUAAUCUGGAAUUAGUAUUCAGAAGAACAUCCUUAAAAGUAAGACAGUUUUUAGUCUAGGAACUAUCAGACCAGGCUCUAAACAUAAAAUGCCACAGUAUCUCUUUCAUUGUACAUGAUCCACAUUUUUAUUUCUAUUUAAAAUAUCCCCACAUCCUCUCUCUAUAUAUUUGAUUAUGAGAAGAUACAAGCUGUUACAUAGUCCUAUAACAGCAAAAGGAGAGGUAAAAUAUAGAGCACAUCGAUGCUUUGCUUUUCCAUGGAAAUACUAGCCUUUUAUAGUAAUUUAAUCAGAUAAUUUCAGUUUAUGUUACUUUGUGUUCCCUCCUGUUUACUUUUCUAAUAACUACAAUUAUUCUCAGAACUGACAUUACAUUUCUCCCCUAGAAUAGAUGUGCCGAAAUUGAAAAAAUCCAAUUGAAUAAGAGAAUGUAACGAGAAAAUGUAAUCCAUUGUUAUUAAAAAAGGCAGCUUACCUUUAUCUGGGUGUUAAACAGUACAAAUCCACGAGAGCCAGUGAAUGUUUUGAAGUCAAAACGAAGGGCAUUACCAAGGCUGAAGUGGAUUUGUCACAGAAUUAUAUGUAUUACCUCGGAAAUAGGUUAUUAUAUCUAGGAGGGGCAGGGGGAAAUAUGAAGGAAUGAGAGAAAGACCAUUUUUAUUUUCUUCAUAUAUUUUCACCUGGGUGAAAUUGUUCUGAUGUAGAUUUUUAUGCAGAAUUUAUUUAAGCUAAAGAAAAUCCAGAACAGUUUAAAAGAUCUUUGCACCUAGUUUAUUAAAUAGGAUAUGUUGUCUAGAAGAAAGCUUCAGAUGAAGAUGUCUUUGACUAUUAAGAGCUCUCAUAAUAGCAAUGUGAAGAAUACCAGCAAAGACACCCGUUACGAUGGAGGAUGGCAUCUGUUUUGACUGGUAACCCAUACACUUAGCCCACAGGAUUCACGUUCAGUUUAGUGCUGUUGGGUGUCUUUAAAGUAUUUUUGAGCCAUGCCUUUCUUGUUCAAAGAUGUGACCACUUAUAUGUAAUUUAAAAGUUUUUCACAGUGGUAGCAACAAAUCAACAUUAUUUUAAGCAUGAAUUUGUAAAUAAAGCCUUAAAAUGUACAGUU
ensembl:lncRNA